rnacentral:rRNA from 1 species
UUGCUCCUACGGGGGGCAGCAGUGAGGAAUAUUGGUCAAUGGGCGCGAGCCUGAACCAGCAACGCCGCGUGAAGGAAGAAGGCUUUCGGGUUGUAAACUUCUUUUCUCAGGGACGAAGCAAGUGACGGUACCUGAGGAAUAAGCCACGGCUAACUACGUGCCAGCAGCCGCGGUAAUACGUAGGUGGCAAGCGUUAUCCGGAUUUACUGGGUGUAAAGGGCGUGUAGGCGGGACUGCAAGUCAGAUGUGAAAACCACGGGCUCAACCUGUGGCCUGCAUUUGACACUGUAGUUCUUGAGUACUGG